GAAGCAGUGCGGCUUGGUUGGGUUGUGUAUCUGAGGACGCAUGACUUUCAACCUUCGUCUGUACGGGAGUUGUAGUGAUGAGACAAGAUAGUAGCUACUAAAAAAACAAUUGGAUACCACGAAAUUGUGGAGAAAAAGGGGUACAAUUAAAAAAAAAUGUUUUUUAAACAUUACUUUGUAAUAUAAGCUAACUUGCUAGCUAGAUAACUAACUAGCAACUUGGCUAGCUAGCUAACAUUAUCUGAUUCCAGUUUGUUUUCUUGUCAUGAAUGAAGCAGUUUGGAGUGGACACAGACCAACACUCUACCAAGGCGUUGGGUCUGGACUGCGAGGGACUGCCGCAGAUGACCCAAUCUGCACCCAUCAAAUUGUCCACAACAACAAACUGGGCAGGUAGGGGUAUAGAGGGUGUGCAACUUUUAUUUUCUGUUAAAUACUUAUUUUUUUUUUAAAUUCGCAAACAUUGGUCUAUGUUUACAUCUUCCCAGAAAACAUGUGUUGUGGAUUUGCUAUGCUGCAUUUUUUCAGAUGUUUGCCUUUACAUGCCUUGUGUAGCCUACUACUGAUUAUUGUGUAAAUGUAUGCUCAGAUAUGUCACCUUAAUGUGAAGCACGAUGAUUUUCAGCGCCUUAACAGGUAAAAUCAUUUGGGCACUGGACAUUACAUGAGUCGGAUUUAGCCCAUUUUCGAUCAGACAUACCAAUACGGAUACGUAAAUGAUCAGGUAUGACUACAGAUAAGAUACAUUUCUGAAAACAUUUUCGAUCAGACAUACCAAUACGGAUACGUAAAUGAUCAGGUAUGACUACAGAUAAGAUACAUUUCUGAAGAUAUGUGAAUUCGUUCAUGUCUGAAUAUAAAGGCUUAGAUAUGUCAGCAUGCUGACACUUACCCUUUAUGGAGUUGGUGCAAGCCUAUCAGGUGCGUGUGUUGAAUAUAUCUCACCCGAGAUAUCUCCCUGGGAGAUUUCAGAAGUCCGGAUUGGAUGCAUGUAAAAACUGUCCCAUUAAAGAGAAUAUCCGAGCUCCAUAUAUCAAAUUAAGGACAUACAUAUCUGGAGAAUGUGUACUCCAGUGGAGACUCCUCAGAGGAGGAAGUAAAAAUACAGAAAAAUAGUGAAACAUUAAAAAGGUUAUACUUUUUAGAUAAAACUAUGCGAAAUAUAUUCAC
ensembl:lncRNA